rnacentral:rRNA from 1 species
CCUACGGGUGGCAGCAGUGAGGAAUAUUGGUCAAUGGCCGGGAGGCUGAACCAGCCAAGUCGCGUGAGGGAAGACGGCCCUACGGGUUGUAAACCUCUUUUGUCAGGGAGAAAGGUGCAGGUCGGGACCUGCUGUGAGAGUACCUGAAGAAAAAGCAUCGGCUAACUCCUUGCCAGCCGCCGCGGUAAUACGGAGGAUGCGAGCGUUAUCCGUAUGUAUUGGGUUUAAAGGGUGCGCAGGGGGAGGCACAAGUCAGCGGUAAAGUCGCGGGGCUCAACCCCGCUCCGCCGUUGAAACUGUGUCCCUUGAGUGCGCGAAGGGUAGGCGGAAUGCGUGGUGUAGCGGUGAAAUGCAUAGAUAUCACGCAGAACUCCGAUCGCGAAGGCAGCCUACCGGCGCGCAACUGACGCUCAUGCACGAAAGCGUGGGUAUCGAACAGGAUUAGAUACCCUAGUAGUC